UUGUUCUUUGCUAGAAAUUUUCCGGUGCGGUUUUCACACCUUUCAUUAGCUCACACUCUCUCAGUCCCACUCAUUCUUCUUCAUAAUAUUUUAAAUUUUAAUCCCUUGUUUUCCCUCAUUUGGAUAAGAUGCUUGUUAAACUCUUCUGCAUUAGAUAAUCUAAUGGUUUAAAUUAUUUGGUUGAAUUAAUAGCAAAAUAAUCAACCAGUUGAAGAAUUGUGCUAGUUUAGAAAGUAUUAGCUUUGUGUUUCUGGGCCAUCUUUCCAAAUUGCAUGUGUGAGUAUAUGUCUGCUCUUGAUUGAAUGUCUUGUAAAGUACAAUAGCUAGUAAAAUGAUAAAUAACUUGAAGACACUAUUUUUGUGUCCCAAUUGCAUGAGAGAGCAUAAAUAUGCAACUCAUUGAGGGUGCUGCAUAUGGUAGACAAUGUUUCCUAUUAAGCUUUUGGCCGUCUUGUGAAUGGCUGCAAUGGGUGGUUCAGCUGCUGCUGACAUGAUGGCAAGGAUUGUGAACACUAUUUGGCUCAUCUGUGUUUAUAAUAUAUGCAAUGAUGCUUGGUUCUGUUAAGAUACAUCAUUAUUUGUUAUCACAUGUGCCUGUGUUUGCUUCUGAAGAAAUAUACAUAAUACAGUUUUGCAUUCAUGUUUGUGUCACUAUUUUCCUCUUGUAACAGUUGUAUUCCUGUGCAAAAAAAAUCACUUUGAAGUUGAAUAAAUUUUCAGUUUGCUUGACCUUUUGAUGCAGAAGUCCUUCCAGGAUCUUCUUCA
rnacentral:misc_RNA from 1 species